AACAAUAUACAAUAAUGAGCUUUAAACAGCUCUGGUUCCUCCAGAAAUGUCCUGUACCUCGGGCCUAAAAAGAGUCCAGCCCGGUAAACAAGUUCAGGGAACUCAAGUGACCUUAGUCACGCAAUGGUUGUCCGUUCAUAAAGUGUAGUGUAAACCCGGUGUCAAUCAUACACCGAAAAGAACAAAUAUUUUACCACACAUUUCAAUAAAUCCUCAACUACAACUAACUACCUAAAUCAUCACGGUAUACAUCACCCCAAAACAAAUGAAAUACCGUAUACAAAAAAGGUUGUAGUCAGUCGGUCAGUCAGAGAAGCCAAUCCGCCGACAGAUCUCCAGCAGAGAAAGGCCACGAAAACCAACGGAGAGGAGUAGUCCACAGAUGCAAGAGUGGAUCCGAUCCUGGGUAGAUUUUCUAUUAGGCUACACAAAGCACACUUUUACAGCAACACAACAAACGGAAGAGAGAAGCUUCAGAACUGAGGGUCGAACACAUCCUCAUUCAUGUUUCCAUCACAACUCCUCUUUUGCGCAGCUGAUGCUGGCUUUUUAAUUGGGAAUUAAAGGGGAAGCGCCCUAUUGGAAGAAGCACUAAUUAAUUGAGAAUUAAAGGGAAAGCGCCCUAUUUGAAGGAGAAGCACUGAGACGGUUCAGAAACAUUCAGGGCCGUCACACACCCCCUCCCCUGGAAAAAGCCGACCAUUGCCCUGGAAGGCACAUCUUGGUCGGGGAAACCGAGAAAGGUCUCUUCUUCACUUUCCUCUACAAAAAUAUUCAUUACUUUUUGGCGCUCAUGCUCCUCAGCCGAGGGGUCACAGGCCUUAAGGCGUGAGACUUCUGGAUCUGGGAAUCCGAGAAAAGUCUCAUCACUUUCCUCUUCAAAGAUUUCCAGGACCUUGCAGCGCUCAAUCUCCUCCAAUUCCUCAGCCGAGGGGUAACAGGCCUUAAGGCGUGAGACAUGGACAACGCGCAUAUCUUCACCUGUGUCCUCUUUCACCACUCGAUAGUUCAAAGGGCCUCUCUGCUCCACAAUCCUAUAUGGUCCUUGCCAUUUAGGAGCGAGCUUGGCCGAGAAGAAUUGUUCAGCUUUUGAAUAAGGAUGAGAGCGAAGCCACACCCGAUCACGAAGCUGGAACUGCAUGUCUCGUCUCUUCUUAUCAUAAUUUCUCUUCUGCUUGAGUCGAGCCUGGAUCAUGUUCUUUGAGACAAGAGCUCUCAAGUCGUGGAGAUGGACUACCUGGUCAUAGCAAGCAGCGUCUGGAGUAACCUGCUGGGGCUGUAGCACCAUCUCCAAGGGUCCUCGGAGGGGACGACUCAGGUUCAGCUCUGCAGGUGUGACUCCAGUGGACUCUUGCACAGCAGAAUUCAGGGCAAAUCGAAACUCGUGAAGGUGCUUGUCCCAGUCUUUGUGCUGGGUCCCUACAUAGGAAGCAACCAUUGUCUUCAAGGUUCGAUUAACUCUCUCAGUGAGGUUGGUCUGUGGGUGAUAGGCCGUGGUCAACUUCUGUCUCAGGUUCCAUCUUUGGCAGGUCUCCUCAAAGAGAUCAGAGACAAAUUGGGAACCUCGAUCAGACAGGAUGUAAUCAGGCACUCCCCAGCGAGUCAGGAUCUCUUUCGUAAGGAUGUUAGAGACAGUCCUUGCUGUGGCCUGACGCAGGGCAAAGAGCUCCACCCACUUGGAAUAGUAAUCAACAAAAACAAGCAUGUACACAUUCUGAUUGGAGCUUCUAGGAAAUGGACCCAUCAAAUCCACUCCUAACAUUUCCCAAGGUCGGGUAACCACAGUUUGCUGCAACUUGCCAGCAGGCUUUCUACCUUCUGGUUUGUACAUUUGACAAACCUGACAGUUUCGGAUGUGUGACUUCACAUCCAUGCUCAGAUGUGGCCAGUACAGUAAUGCUUGCAACCGCUUGUAGGUUUUGAACCUGCCCAAAUGACCAGCUAAUGGGUCUUCAUGGAAAUGUUGCAGCAGUUGAAGGCGUAGAGUUUCAGGAUAGUCUGGUACAAAGCCUGUACUUCUGGAUCAUCCUGUUGGGCUUUCCAAAUGGCCUCAUCAGAGAUGGGAAAGUCAGUUUUGGGUGAGUCUCGACUGCUUGACAGGACAGUAGCACAUGUAAGAUGAGGGCCACCAUUACCACCAGCAGGAGCUCUGGAUAAGGCAUCUGGAACAGUGUUGUAUUUUCCUUUCCUGUAUUCUACUGCAAAGGUGAACUCUUGCAACCGUAGAGCCCAUCUGAUGAGUCUGGUGCUUGGUUUGUUGGUCUUGAACACCCACACAAGGCGAGGAAUGGUCAGUGACCACAGUGAAGUGUCUUCCCUCCAGGUAGUACCUCCACUUUUCCAAAGCCCAGACAACUGCAAGGCACUCUUGCUCGGUUGUGGAGUAGUUCCGUUCUGCUCCAUUCAAUGUUCGACUGGCGAACGCUAGCACUUCUUCAGUGCCAAGUCCAGUCUGUUGGACUAGAACAGCACCAAGUCCAACAUCACUUGCAUCAGUAUAAACAACAAAAGGGCAAUCAAAGUUGGGAUGACCCAAAAUGGGAGGUGUGACGAGGUGUCGUUUUAGGGUUUCAAAAGAGGUCUGGCACUCUGCCGUCCAUCAGAAUUUCGCACCUUUUCGCUUCAAUGCGUUGAGGGGUUCUGCCACCUGGGAGAAGUUCAACACAAACCGAUGGUACCAUCCAGCCAUCCCAAGGAACCGUUGAAGGGCCUUGAGUGUGGUUGGGACAGGGAAAUCUUGUACCGCCUUGGUCUUUUCGGGAUCCACAUGAGUGCCGUCAAAAGACACAAUAUGGCCAAGGAACUUCAGAGAGGUUUGGCAGAAGUUGCUCUUCUUCAUGUUCAAUGUCAGACCAGCUUCCCUUAGCUUGUCCAACACUGCUUGAAGAUCUUGAAAAUGUUGUUCUCUGGUCUGGGAGUAGAUAAUUAUAUCGUCCAGGUAGACGAAACAGAUCUUCCCUUUGAGCUCACCUAACGCAAUCUCCAUGAGUCUUUAGAAAGUGGCAGGUGCAUUCUUUAAUCCAAAAGGCAUCACCUUAAAGGAAAACAAGCCCUCAGCACAGACAAAAGCAGUCUUGUCCUUGCUUUCCUGGUCCAUCUCAACCUGCCAAUAGCCACUAUUGAGGUCAAGGGUAGUGAACACAACCGCCCCAGACAAUGACUCCAGGAUCUCUUGGAUGGUGGGAAGAGGAUAGGCAUCAGUCUGGGAAACCUUGUUGGUCUUCCUAUAGUCCACACAAAAUCUAAGACCACCGGUCUUUUUUGGGAUGAGGACAACAGGAGCAGCCCAGGGAGAGGAUGAACGUUCAAUUAUAUUUUGUGUCAACAUAUCAUUAAUCAGUCCUUUUUGGAUGAUUAGCUUUGCUGGGGACAAACGAUAUGGCUUCUGCUUGAUCGGCAUUUCCUGUGUAAGGAAUAUUUUGUGCUUCAGGAGCCCGGUACGUCCCAGCUUUGAAGUACAUACAUCAGCGUUAUUCUGCAGCUGUUCCAACAGCCUUAACUCCUCUGGCUGUUCCAGCUGAGCUCUUCUCACAGCCUGUAAAAGGAGAUCAUCAGAAGGAUUAUCGAGGGUUAGUGGUACCGGAGCAAUGGCAGAGAAGACUGCCACAUUUGGACCCCAAUCAUGUAACUUUGUAGCUUCUGACUGGAAGAAAUGCUUCUUGCUCGGAUUGUAUGGAAACCAGUAGCAAUUGUGUGCGAUAUCAAUCUGGACACCACUGAAGUACAUGAAAUCAAUUCCCAA